rnacentral:rRNA from 1 species
UACGAAGGGGGCUAGCGUUGCUCGGAAUCACUGGGCGUAAAGGGUGCGUAGGCGGGUCUUUAAGUCAGGGGUGAAAUCCUGGAGCUCAACUCCAGAACUGCCUUUGAUACUGAGGAUCUUGAGUCCGGGAGAGGUGAGUGGAACUGCGAGUGUAGAGGUGAAAUUCAUAGAUAUUCGCAAGAACACCAGUGGCGAAGGCGGCUCACUGGCCCGGUACUGACGCUGAGGCACGAAAGCGUGGGGAGCAAACAGG